GGCAAAAGACAGCUGAUCAGCAAGGGAGGCAGACGACUUGAGCCGCCGUUGGAGGAAAGAGAGGAGGACUCCACAGUGGAUGGAGAAACCAUUAACACACGGGAGCAGAAUCUGUCGGUACAGAGUUCCGUCGCCGGUAGGACGACGGCUGAUGGAGACACGGAGACAGAUGUUGGAUCCGCGGGGGUGGAUCCUUCCAUUGGUGGGAACGUCUCGCCGACGUCAACUAUCACCGGAAACGAGAGAGUCGCCAACACCGAUCUGCGACAGUUUAUAGAACACCAGGAAGCGGAAACGGAAAAAAUUGAGGAAGACAAUGAACCGAAAUCCAGCGAGCGCCGGAAAGAUUCUUCCGAGAUGCUAGGAUCUCGCGACUCACACAUGCCAGACGGCGAGGAACAGAAUACAGAGGAAAGAGGCAGAGAACAGGAACCACAGGGUGAUAGGAGGGAGACAGAGGGGGCAGAGACGGAUGAGGACGGGGGUCCGGAGGGAAACGUCACCCAACGGAGCGAGCAGGAGAUCACAGAGUUUGGCGGGGAUAACGACGCCUUCAAGUCUCUGCUGGCGGAGGAACUGGCCCGGAUAAAUCAACAGGACUAGUCCGCCUCAAUAGGCGCAGUGAUACUGUGAUAAUAUAUCUGUGAUAAACAAACGAUGCCUAGGGAGACACCUGUCUGCGAUAGGUGUUCCUGUAUUGUGAUACUGUACGUGUAUAAUAAACUUAACUUUUUGUGAAAAACGUGCAUACAUAAGUUUUACUUGAAUAUCGUUUUGGGAUACGUUGUUGCAUUAAAUGAUGAAUAAAUCCCUGUAUUCUGG
rnacentral:misc_RNA from 1 species